AUUGAACGCUGGCGGCAGGCCUAACACAUGCAAGUCGAGCGGAUGAGGGUAGCUUGCUACCUGAUUCAGCGGCGGGCGGGUGAGUAAUGCCUAGGAAUCUGCCCGAUAGUGGGGGACAACGUUUCGAAAGGAACGCUAAUACCGCAUACGUCCUACGGGAGAAAGUGGGGGAUCUUCGGACCUCACGCUAUCGGAUGAGCCUAGGUCGGAUUAGCUAGUUGGUGAGGUAAUGGCUCACCAAGGCUACGAUCCGUAACUGGUCUGAGAGGAUGAUAAGUCACACUGGAACUGGGACACGGUCCAGACUCCUACGGGAGGCAGCAGUGGGGAAUAUUGGACAAUGGGCGAAAGCCUGAUCCAGCCAUGCCGCGUGUGUGAAGAAGGUCUUCGGAUUGUAAAGCACUCUAAGUUGGGAGGAAGGGCUGUAGGCUAAUAUCCUGCAGUUUUGACGUUACCAACAGAAUAAGCACCGGCUAACUUCGUGCCAGCAGCCGCGGUAAUAC
rnacentral:rRNA from 1 species